rnacentral:rRNA from 1 species
UGGGGAAUUUUGGACAAUGGUCGCAAGCCUUAUCCAGCAAUGCCGCGUGCAGGAUGAAGGCCUUCUGGUUGUAAACUGCUUUUGUACGGAUUGAAAAGGUCUUCCCUAAUACGUUGGGCUCAUGACGGUACCGUAAGAAUAAGCACCGGCUAACUACGUGCCAGCAGCCGCGGUAAUACGACUGGUGCGAGCGUUAAUCGGAAUUACUGGGCGUAAAGCGUGCGCAGGCGGUUAUAUAAGACAGAUGUGAAAUCCCCGGGCUCAACCUGGGACCUGCAAUUGUGACUGUAUAGCCAGAGUACGGUAGAGGCGGAAGGAAUACCGCGUGUAGCAGUGAAAUGCGUAGAUAUGCGGAGGAACACCGAUGGCGAAGGCAAUCCACUGGACCUGUACUGACGCUCAUGCACGAACGCGUGGGGAGCAAACA